rnacentral:lncRNA from 1 species
GGUGAGAUCUUUAGCUUCUUGAAUUGCUAUCACCUUUGCUUCUUAUUCUUUUGGUAAAGACUUCAAAACCUUGCACACAAGUUCAUGAUUAGUAUAGAUUUAGCCAAGAUCAUUUAAAAUAUUAAUAAUAUUCAUAAAUCUUAUGAAUAUAUCAAAAAUAGACUCGUGUGGUUCUAUUUUGAACAUUUCAUAUUUAUGAACAAGCAAAUUAAUUUUAGAUUCUUUAACUUGGCUUAUUCUCUCAUGAG